rnacentral:rRNA from 1 species
GGGGGAUAUUGCACAAUGGGGGAAACCCUGAUGCAGCGACGCCGCGUGGAGGAAGAAGGUCUUCGGAUUGUAAACUCCUGUUGUUGAGGAAGAUAAUGACGGUACUCAACAAGGAAGUGACGGCUAACUACGUGCCAGCAGCCGCGGUAAAACGUAGGUCACAAGCGUUGUCCGGAAUUACUGGGUGUAAAGGGAGCGCAGGCGGGAAGACAAGUUGGAAGUGAAAACCAUGGGCUCAACCCAUGAAUUGCUUUCAAAACUGUUUUUCUUGAGUAGUGCAGAGGUAGAUGGAAUUCCCGGUGUAGCGGUGGAAUGCGUAGAUAUCGGGAGGAACACCAGUGGCGAAGGCGGUCUACUGGGCACCAACUGACGCUGAGGCUCGAAAGCAUGGGUAGCAAACAGGAUUAGAUACCCUGGUAGUCCAUGCCGUAAACGAUGAUUACUAGGUGUUGGGGGAUUGACCCCCUCAGUGCCGCAGUUAACACAAUAAGUAAUCCACCUGGGGAGUACGACCGCAAGGUUGAAACUCAAAGGAAUUGACGGGGGCCCGCACAAGCAGUGGAGUAUGUGGUUUAAUUCGAAGCAACGCGAAGAACCUUACCAGGUCUUGACAUCCGAUGCAUAGCACAGAGAUGUGUGAAAUCCUUCGGGACAUCGAGACAGGUGGUGCAUGGUUGUCGUCAGCUCGUGUCGUGAGAUGUUGGGUUAAGUCCCGCAACGAGCGCAACCCUUAUUGCCAGUUACUACGUUAAGAGGACUCUGGCGAGACUGCCGUUGACAAAACGGAGGAAGGUGGGGAUGACGUCAAAUCAUCAUGCCCUUUAUGACCUGGGCUACACACGUACUACAAUGGCGUUAAACAAAGAGAAGCAAGACCGCGAGGUGGAGCAAAACUCAAAAACAACGUCUCAGUUCAGAUUGCAGGCUGCAACUCGCCUGCAUGAAGUCGGAAUUGCUAGUAAUCGCGGAUCAGCAUGCCGCGGUGAAUACGUUCCCG